UACGUAGGGCGCAAGCGUUAUCCGGAAUUAUUGGGCGUAAAGAGCUCGUAGGCGGUUUGUCGCGUCUGCCGUGAAAGUCCGGGGCUCAACUCCGGUAUCUGCGGUGGUACGGGCAGACUAGAGUGCGGGAGAGGAGAAUGGAAUUCCUGGUGUAGCGGUGAAAUGCGUAGAUAUCUGGAGGAAUACCGGUGGCGAAGGCGGCAUCCUGGACCGGCAUUGACGCUGAUGAGCGAAAGCUAGGGGAGCAAACGGG
rnacentral:rRNA from 1 species